rnacentral:tRNA from 1 species
AGCGGGGUGGAGGAGUAGUACCUCGUCAGGCUCAUAACCUGGAGACUCCGGUGCAAAUCCGGACCCCGCAACAA